ensembl:misc_RNA predicted gene, 22261
AGAUGUGAGGAUGUUUGAUGGUGAGCUCUGUCACACACUGUUUAUCACCAAGGCUGACUGGCUGGCUGGUUGGCUAUGUGAGUGACACCUUCCUCUCUCACUCCUUCAUGUUCAUUCUUCCUGUUGAUGUAUGCUUAGGUAAGGAGGAUGCCCUUCCCUGGGCUUGCUUCCAGCCAAGGGCGUAUGAGUCCAAGCUACACCCCCUGCUCGAACCCCCAGACAAGCCAACAAGCUCUCUAGGUUCAUCUAUAGGAGAACAUUAGGCAGUCAGGAUUCUUUUUAAAGAGAGAAAAAAUAAUCAUAAUGAGGAGGAUGGGUAACUUA